UACGAAGGGGGCUAGCGUUGCUCGGAAUCACUGGGCGUAAAGGGCGCGUAGGCGGACUCUUAAGUCGGGGGUGAAAGCCCAGGGCUCAACCCUGGAAUUGCCUUCGAUACUGUUUGGCUAGAGACCGGAAGAGGUUAGUGGAACUGCGAGUGUAGAGGUGAAAUUCGUAGAUAUUCGCAAGAACACCAGUGGCGAAGGCGGCUAACUGGUCCGGUUCUGACGCUGAGGCGCGAAAGCGUGGGGAGCAAACAGG
rnacentral:rRNA from 1 species